GUCUAUAUAGUUUAAUAAAACAUUGGUCUUGUAAGCCAAAGACCGAAGAAUAAAAUUCUUCUAUAGACU
rnacentral:tRNA from 1 species